CGGUGGAGCAUGUGGUUUAAUUCGAUGCAACGCGAAGAACCUUACCUGGCCUUGACAUCCAUGGAAUUCUGCAGAGAUGAAAUCCGCCAUAACAGGUGUGACGAGCGCAACCCUUGUCCUUAGUUGCCAUCGGGAUGUCAAGUAUCAUGGCCUUUAUGGCCAGGCUACAUACAUGGCAGGUACAAGGGAAGCCAACGCGCGAGCGGGAGCCUCCCAGAAAGCCUGUCGUAGUCCGGAUCGGAGUGCAACUCGACUCUGUGAAGUUGGAAUCGCUAGUAAUCGAGAUCAGCAUUGCUGCGGUGAAUACGUUCCCGGGUCUUGUACACACCGCCGUCACACCAUGGGAGUUUACUGCACCGGAAGCAGGUAGCCUAACCGCAAGGAUGGCGCCUACCACGUGUGGUCGAUGACUGGGGUGAA
rnacentral:rRNA from 1 species